GCGUCCGUAGCUCAAAUGGAUAGAGCAUCAGCCUCCGGAGCUGAUGGUUGCGGGUUCAAAUCCCGCCGGACGCA
rnacentral:tRNA from 1 species